AAGAGAAAAUAACAACCCAGAAAAAAGAAGACCAAGAAAAAAGAAGCUUAUGAUGGUUGACUGAUAUGAGUUUCCUCUUUCUCGGUUGUUCUUUUCUUCUUU
rnacentral:ribozyme from 14 species